CGCACUCUCACUCUGAACUCGUUCUCGUUCUCUCCUUUACCAUGAAAGCUCACGAUUGCAACCAUAUUUGAUCUCGAUUUCCACCGAUUUGAUCCUGAUUUCCACCGAUUUCCACCGAUUGCAACCUGAUUUCCACCGAUUUCAACCUCCACUGAUCUCUUCUGAUUCGACUCUCAAUUUCACUCUCCUGAUUCCACUCUCGAUUAAACCCUAAAAUCUUCUCUCAAUCCUCUUCCUGAUUCCUCAAUCUCCAGUGUUUCACAAGAAAACGCUCAAUCUCAGCUUCAUUUGCAUUUUACUGGUCCAUUUCUCUGCCCUCACAGUUCAAAAUCGUCUCAUCCGGUUUUGUAUUAUCUACUAAAUAAAAAUGAGGACCAUGUCUCUGUUAUCAAGGAGUACAGGGGAAAGAUUGAGGCUGAGUUCAACAAGAUCUGUGAUGGCAUUUCGAACCUUCUUGAGUCCAUAGAUGAUGAUAUUUAUAGCAUUUUAUUUAAAUGCUUGUAUAAAGUAGUAGUGGCUACUUUCGCUACUCACAUGCUAAACUAAAUUUGUGGUUAAUUGAUCCAGGAUAUUGUUCUUGCUGAACUUGCUCCCACAGUCCCACCCACCCGAUUAGGCUCGGUCUUGCGCUCAACUUUUCUGUGUUCUAUUAUGAAAUCCUUAACUCACCAGAUCAUGCUUGUAAUCUUCCAAAGCAGGCAUUUGAUGAGGUGAUUUCUGAGCUUGACACAUUGGGUGAAGAGUCAUACAAGGUCAGUACAUUGAUCACGCAGCUUCUCUGAGACAAUCUGACUUUGUGGACAUUCGACAUCACGGUUCUUUUGAGGAAUUUCCCGAAGAACAAGGAGCUGAUUGUGAAGGAGCGUUUGGAGAGAACCCUGGAGAAUCUACAGGUGAGGGCUACUCACUGAACUAUUAGUUAAUGCUUUAGGUGUCGACGAAUUCGACUUGAUUUAUUGUUUAUGCACUUGUUUGUGUUUGACUGGGAAAAAUGUUUUCUGAGGCUUCGGCUGACAAUGAUGAUUAGUCAUCUAUUAAUUGUUUUUGGAGUUUGAAUCACAUGCUACGUGUUAAGUGGUUAAUCUAGAAUGUGUGAUAUCUGCUUUACAUGCUAAGUGCUAUGUGGUUAUUCUAGGAUGUGUUGAUAUAUGUGACAUGCUUAUUGACUGUGCUGAUUUAACUAUGCUAUUACACAUAUAUCUGUUAUGCUUCAAAGUGAGGAUAACGGGCAUGUCAUGCCGAUUUUUAUAAGAGUUUGAGAAAGUUUGACGGGACGAAUGGAGUUCGGGCCUUGUUAGUGUUUUAAGUGGAUCGAGACAUUCUCUAGGGAUUACAAUGGGAUUAUGGGAUCUUUGAAACUCAUAGGAAUUACGAUAAGAUUAAAUGGAAACUAUUUUUUUACAAGGAAAAUUCAUAAGAUACUAAACAACCUCUAAACCUUUAAAUAAUGAUAACAAUCUCGGAUGCAAGCUUAGGACUGAGAUAUUAGUUUUGGAAAAGGAGGAUUGUCGUCGAAUCCAAGUUAUGGGAGAAUUGUAGGUUUCUGAGUAUGUUGAUACUCCUUCGCUCUUUGAGCAGUUUGUUUAGCCAUCCAACGGAUGAGCCGAGAAGCUUCACUGAGGCGUGAGACCUUGUGAAUGCGUGAUACUUCACUGAGGCGUGAGACCUUGUGAAAAGCAUGGAUCUUCACUGAGGCGUGAGACCUCGUGAACAGCAUGAAACUUCACUGGAGCGUGAGACUUUGUGAUUGUAUAAGCCUCCACUGAAGCGUGAGACUUUGUGAGAGCAUUGAUGACUCGAAGAGUUAUCGUGAGUGUUUGCACUCAUUUUACGAUUAAUUGUAUUUUGUCGCAGAAUCGACUUUUACCUUAGGGUAUUCUUUUUAGAGACAAAUAAGUUAGUUAGAACACGUGGCGACGUGUCGAGUGAGGUCGGAGACGUUGUUUGGCUAGUCACUUUGCAUUCAUGCACUCAUUUUGAGGUCUUAACACGAGACAGACUUCGGACCUCGGUGGAUUCCAAAAUGGUCAUAAGACCCGGUGUAAGGCCCAAGUUUUAACGCUUUGGAUAAGUGAAUAAAAUAAAAGAGUUAUUUGAUUAAGAUAAAUUUGGGAAGGAAAGAGGUUCAGGAAAAGUCCAAGAAUGUAUCGAAAAACCGAAAGAGUUAUAGCACAACUAACAUACGCUUAAUCCUAGGUCGAAGGUAUUAGUGAAUAGUUAAUUUACGCUUUAGGACACGAUGGAAACUAAUUCCAAAAAUUCUCAGAGAAAUGUUAGAACUUCUCUUUUCCGUCCUUAAACAACCAUUUCGAUGCGAAAUCCUGGAAAGUACGAACGUCAAAUUCCAAUUCUCGGAAGUUUGCCGAAACGGAAUCCCUGAUAGUUCGAAAAACCUAAGAUCGACAGACGAUGAAGACUUUUUCUAUCCGGAAACUCAAAUGAAGAUUCCACCCGCGUUCUCCUACUUCUCUCAUCAUUCCUAAUCUUUCUUCAGAAGGAAGUUUUCUCAUCCGACGAUCACUGCAAAAGUAGUUUUUCGGGAUAAACCGACUUACACCGACUUAUGCCGAUUUUGGAUCUUUUGGUUUAAUUCCAAGAAUCCUGUUUUGAGUUCUGGAAUUCUGUCGCCAGAACCUAUCUUAGAAUGCGCAGAGGAACGCGCAGGAAAAAUCGGAAUCGCAAAAAAAUCAUUUUUCCGUUUUUUCCAAAACCUAUAAAUAGCUUGAAAAUUAGAUUUUUUGCAAAAAAACCCAUUUUCCCCACCCCCAAAACCGCGAGUUCCUAGAGAGAGAGAGAGAUCCGGAUCUUCGUCGUUUCUUUCCCGUUUGCUUCACCGAUCGUCACUAAUCGAAGACCCCGAGGUAGGUAAUCUAUACUCUCCUUCGAAUCGUCGUUUCUGUCCAUUUCUCCUGCGACUUUCUGAGUUCAAAAUUUUGAGGUUUUUGAAAAACUGUUCAAAUCAGCUGAUUUCAGCGUCUAAACUUCUUCCCUGCAUGCUCCUGAGCGUGUUCUGCGGAUUAGAUUUUGUCAAAUGUCGACGAAAUGCCGCCGGGAUCAAUUUCCACCCUAAAUACCCAUUUUUCGGCAAAGUCGCAACCUUUACGCUCUAAUCUAUCGACUUGGCUUAGUGCUAGUAGGAUUUGUCGUCAUAAACGUCGUUGUGGACGUCCCCAUCCAAUUUGUUUUUCAAAAAUCCAAUUUUGAAAUUCUGAGCUAAAAAUAAUGACCAAACUACCCCUAUAUCAGUUUUCGAUCCGUAAAUUUUUCCGAGCCUAGAACCGUCUUAGUUACGGCUUAUGUUAACCUAGGAACCAAGUUUGAUCGAAGAAAAAUCGACCCUCCCAAUUAAGGAAAGUGGCCGAGAGCUAUAUCAAGGGGGGAGGAGAAUCCGAUUUUUCGAAAACUUGUCUUAACGCGUUAGAUUGUCGUACCAAGGAGGUAGUAGUGUACUGUGUAACCCUAGGACUCUUUGAUUGCUGAGUUUCUGACUCUUGGUGUUGAAUUCUGUGAUUUUUGCUUAAGGUUCGUUUGAGGAGAUUCCAAGAAAUCAAGGAGAAGAGUUUGGAGAACAUCUUGAGGAAGAAGCUGGAAGACCCACCGAUGAGUAUGGGGGAUUGGUUUACCAUGGUCAGCCCGUCGGGGGGGACCAGGUACGAGAUGCUUGAUCAAGACGACCCAGGUGCAUGGGUGGUCGAUCCCGAGGGCCACCGUGCGACCUACACCGGUCGGAUUAUGGAGGACCGUGUCGACCGAUUUGGACGCUUGACGGAGGGAGUGAUGAGGAGGCACAUAGUGAGCUUCAACCUGCCUCCAGGAGUACACUGUGGACCCGGCUUGGGAGUACCUCCACCGCCACCAUCCCCUUCAGAUGAUGAGGACCCCUCUGAGGAGGUGCCAGUAGGUGGGGCUUCGACGGAGUCUAGUCCGUCUACUGCUGCUGCUGUCGUCGCGGAUCUCGUUCCGGGCCCCGAGCCCGAGAGUCCAGUGCAGGAGCGCAUUAGGGUGGACAGAGAGGGCAGUGUUGAGUACGUCGACCUAGUCGUCCUGGAUGCAGAUUCGGAUGACGACCGUGCUAGCGUGUAGGAUCGAGUGCUAGUGUGGGCUCCUCGGGUAGGGAUAGUGUAGGAGUAGUGUCGAUGCUCUGACCGUCAUGUUUCCGUUUUUGGGGACAGGGUAGUUUUCCUACCGGUAGCUUUUGUGUGGUUUCCUAUGGAGAUCAUAGAGAGCUGGUUGGAUUUAGGGGGUCUUUUCUUAGGCCGCUGGGCCAACUUGCUCUCAGAUUUUGUAGUUUAGUGUUGCGGACACAGUAUCUUUAUCUUGGACUGUACAUAUUGCCUUCGGGCGUUACUCUUUUUCUGUCACCCGUCACUGGAGGUUACUCGUGACGUGGUAGUGUUUAGCGAGGCAUGUAUAUAUAGUUGUAUAGUAGUUCCUUUUAUCUUUUGUUGGGGAGUUUUAUUGCUUUCUGUCUUUAGUUAUAUUGUCGAAAAAAAAUAAUUCACGUUUUUCCGCUUAAAGUAUUUUCUUUUGGUUACUAAAGUGACGCCACCGAAAUCGGGGUGUUACACCCGGAUUUCCAUAAAAGAACACUACGGUGAUUCUUAGUAGCAGACGGAAAUGGCAGACCUUCGGGUUCACUGCUGAUCUGACUACACUUUGUGUGGUGUAAGAGACACGCGAGCGGAAAUGGUCCCACCGUUGCUGGUGCUAGGAUUGACUUGUUAGUGCCCAUCCGUUCCGGAAUGCAUUUGGUUAACCGGCAUCUGCAUUUCAUGCAACAUGCAUACUGACUUAGUUGCUGAGUGUGAUUGAUAAUUGUUAAUUCUAUUUGAUGCAUGUUAAUUGUCAUUAUUAUCGUUUAUAUUCAUUGUGAAAUAUACAACCCUAGGAUGCUAUCUCUAACUUAUAAGCCUAAGUGGCUACUCCUUAUCUUUACCUAUUGGAUUUAUUAUUUACAUAAUUCUUUGGAGUUGACCCUCGCGUCUUCUGUGUGUGCUUUGGCGGACUACGCACUUUGUCUGAUGUCCAUGGCGGACUGAAUCACGAUGGUUCACCCUUCGGGGGGACUAGGUUCGAGAUGCCGGAACAAGAGCGCAUCGCGGUAGCAAGAGGAGGACGGAAGGUGUACAUAGACUUGGUCGUUCUGGAUUCAGAUUCGGACGACGAUCACGCUAGCAUGUAGGAUUGAGUGUUAGUGUGAUCUCCUCGAGAUAGGAUUAGUGUAGGAGUAGGGUCGUAGCUCUGACCGUCAUUGUUUCUUUGGGGACAGGGUAGUUUCCCGCCUAUAGCUUUUUGUGUGGUUCCUCUACGGGGAUCACAGAGAGUUGGUUGGGCUAGGAGGUCUUGUUUUAGGCCGUUUGGGCCGCCUUAUUCUCAUUUUUUGAGGUAUAGUGUUGCGGACACUUGACCUUUCUUUUGGAUUGUACCUUUUGCCUACGGGCGCUACUUUCUGUUACUUCCCGUCACUGGAGGUUUACUCGUGACAUGGCUUGCUACUUACAGCGGGGGCUGUAUUUAUAUUAUACAUUAGUUCUGUUAUCUUUUGUUGGGAGUUUAUUUCUUUCAGUCUUUGGUUCUAUUAUCGAAAAAAAAAUAUAUUCACGUUUUUCCGCUUAAACUUUCUUUUUGGUUACUAAAGUGACGCCACCGAAAUCGGGGUGUUACAAUCCUUUUGUCUGGAUUUUCAUACUUGUCCUUUUUCUUGCAAUGCAGUAGUCUAGGUUACCUUUGAACUUAGUGGGGAAAAUUUAACUUUAUCCUCAUACUUGCCUAAACAAUGACAAACAAAUCAGCACAUAUUUUGUGAAGAAUCCAUUACAUGCCUAUGCUUUAUAGUAGCUUUUACUGUUAGUUAAGUUGGUUGUCUAUCAUGAAGCUUGCGGGCUUUUCCUAGAAGUAAGUAAGUAGACUUCUAGACCACUUUAUGUUUCAAUUCUCAUGAGGGAUGAUCAAUUAUCUAGAGAUGCUAGAGGUCCCUAAUGACAUAGAAAUAGUGUAAAUAAUCUCUUGCAUUUAAGGGAGGUUGAAAACUCCCGUUAGAAAAAGCUUGCGGAUAAGGGAGGUUUAAAACCCCCGCUAAAUUCAUAUGCAGGUACCAGGGUUUGCUGAAAAACGCCCGCUAAAUGCAAACAAAACCCCCGCUAAGUAACUCGCGGGGGUUGAAAACCCCCGCUAAGUAACUCACGGGGGUUGAAAACCACCACUAAAUGCAAACAAAACCCCCGCUAAAUAACUUUUUUUUUGUAGUGUACCGAUAUCGGAAUGACCUGAAACCACUUGGAGAAUUUAGAUAACUCAGAGAACUACAACUCUCCUGAAGGAAACUUCUCCAUAAAAGGUCGUUAAGACCUCUUAAAAAUUCAUACAAAGUUACGGACGGAUACUCAAACAACUCAAUCUUUAUUUUUGAAAACAAAAUCUUAUCAUAUCUCUUAGGAUUUAAAAAAAAAAAAAAAGAUAAAACCCUUAUCUUCUAAAAAAAACUAAAAUCAAUCAAUUUAAAUCCCUUUUUAAUAAAAGAAACUCAAUUUUUUUAUUAAAACAUAAAUAUCUUCUCUCAAUUUGUUGCAACUAACUCACAACAAAUCAAAAUCAUAUCUCCACAUCACUAAAACUCCUCACUUAUUAUUUAUUUCUAAAUAAUAAUAAUAAUUAUAAUAAUAAUAAUAAAAUUCAGGGUCUUACAGUAGCUCAUUUGGCGAGCUAAGGGAAAUGAAGGGUAUUGAUGAGUGAAAGGUCAGGGUUCAUACCCUGGGGAAGGAACUAAUUUACUAACAAUUAACAACUAACAUUUUCCUAUAAAAAAAUCUCUACUCCCGAAAUUUUGAAAGAUCAAAGUGUUUUUCAUUAGUCAACAAUCUUUCCGCACAUCUUGUUCUUCAUCACUAAUGUAUGUAACAUCCCAUUUUUC